AUUUAUGCGACUUAGUUAGCUUGUUCUUGCGCAUUUACGUUGUGUUUCCUUAGUUAUUUUAGUGUUUAAAGUCAUUUUUGUGUGUUUUCAGGUUCUAAGGACAAAGUAGGCAAAAAGAUGCAUUUUGGAGCCUUUUGGAUCAUUUUUGGGCAUGGAAUGGAUAACACAUGCUUGGAGCCAAGUGAAUGGACGAAAUUGAAGACCAAAGGAGGCUAGGAAUGAAUAAUGAGAUGAAAGAAAUGAAGAAAUGAAAAUGAAGAACCAAGAGUUCAGAAUUGGAAGCCAAAGUUUCUAAAGUUGGAAGUUUCUAUUCUUGGAGGUUUCCAUUUGUGAAGGUUUCUAUCUUUGGCUCUAAACUUUCCUAAUCCUAAUUCACCUAUGUUCCAGCUGCAAGGAGGCUUCCUAAAUAUUUUAGGACACUAAAUAAAUGCUUCUAGAAGACCUAGACCUAUCCCUAAUCCUUGCCGCACAAGGGAGAGUUUCCUUUCCUAUUUUCUGACUUUAAUUCACAUUCCCCUUUAGUUCUAGGCAAUGCCGCACCCUACCUCCUCUCCUUGCCUAAUUUCUGACCCAAAAUUACAUUCCCCUUUGUUCUAAAGCCUUGCCAUGCAAGGGGAAAGGUUUCUUACCUAUUUUGUGCCUCAAAACACAUUCCUAAAAUCUGCCCUACAAUUUCUGCCGAAUUUCCCUUUCCUAUUCUCUUUAAUUCCUGCACCUUUCUUGCCUAUUUUCAAUUGAUUUCUGACUUUUAAUUAUAGGACAAGAUAGCUAAGUUAUUUCUUUCCCUAAAACACAUCAAAAUCGUGCCUUAGCCUAUAUAAAACCCUUUUGCCGCAAGUUCUGACUCUCUCUUCUCUUUUCUGACCAUCCACGAUUCCACCCUUCACCAUAACCUACCUACACCCCUCCACCACCACAAUUCACCACAAAUCAUCACCAAACACCCUUGUGUCGCAGCAAAGAAGAAAGAAGGAGACCCUUGGACGUGCUUGCCAUUCAAGACGUUGGAUUGUUGGAGUGUUUCUAGGUGUUUUCAUUCUUUGUUUUCAAUGUCUAAAUUUAUGUAUCUUUGUUUUGCGUUUAUGAGGAACUAAGCCCUUCUUAAUUAGGGGGCUAUUCAAUACCAUGAUUAUACUUGCAUUAUGAAUUGAUUACCUUCAGUUGUUAUUUCAUAAGUUGUGAGUUCAAUUCGUUUAACUGCUUGAUUGAUAACGUAUUCGUGUAUGUUUGUUAAGAGUGCACGCUUAGUUUUCAUGCAUGAAUAUGAUGCUAGAAUAUAAGGGAGUUUCACCUAAUAGUUACAAACUUAUAUUCACAAGUAGUGGAGGUCGCUUAUAAACGAUCGCGUUAAAUGAAUUCUUGGCAUAAGUUUCAUGCUCAUCAUAGUAACGAGUGCCUCGUCAAUACUUAUAGUUUUCAUAAAACUUAAUGAUCUUUGAUUGUACCUUUAUUGUGCUUUUCAUGUAGGGGACUUUUAGAGAAUGCUUUGGGUUGUUGUAUGUGCUUUCCCAUCCAAUUCAUUAACUUAAGGAGAACUUGAAGGUUAAUUUAAGUGGACCUAAUUAACCUGGGGUGUUGAGUUUCAUGAUUUAUUGAAUGAAUAACUGAAAAUUGGUUUGUAUACAAGUGUGUCAUGUGUGGAGAAGAACCCUUUAGCUAGCCCAUCAUCCAUAGUUUGAUCCAAAUUCGUCUAGAAUCUGUUUUCAAUUUACAAUCUGUUUUGCAAGUUUAAUUUCGUCCAAAAUCAAAACCCCCUUGACUUUAUUGAGUCAUAUUAGUUAGAAAGUACUUAAGUUUGUGUUUUUAAGUGUUUUGGUUCAAGUUAUAAGUCAAUUUCGUCCAAAUUAGUGUUAGAGUUCAAAACUGCCCAGAAAGUGUUUUUAAAGCAGUUUUGAGUGUUUUUGUACUGUUUUGAGUCUUUUGGUUUGUUUUAGUGUUUUAAAAUUUAGUUUUGCAUUCUUUGAGUCUUGUUAAGUGUUUGUAACUUGUUUUUAGUUAUUUGAGUCAGUUUAGAAGUAGAUUAGCAAUCCCUCCUAAUCCCCGGUCCAGAACGAUCCCUACUUAUCCAUACUACAAUUGUCAACAAGAGGGUUUAAUUUGUGUGUUAAGUUAAUUUAUGCAUCAAAUUUUGGCGCCGUUGCCGGGGAUUAGCAAUUUUGCUAAUCCCUCGUUGUUUCUUUUUAUUUUAUUUUCGUUUGUUUUCUAUCUUAGUUACUGAUUUUGUUUUGCUUUGUUUUAUUUACUUUUGAUAUUUGAUAUAGUUUGGUUUAUUUGAUUUCAGGUACUAGAGAAGUAAGACAUGGAUUUUGCUAAAAUUCAAGCUCAAUUGGCGAAUCUUACUUCUCAAUUGUCACAGAUUGCCGGAAGGACCACAAUGCAAAGUGUCCCUACAUGUGGUGUUCCUAUGGCCAAGGAUAUCCAACUCAUCAAUGUUCUCAAUUCACUGCAAAUGAAGAUGCUUGGGGUUAUCAAUGCCAUAGCCAAUCAUGGGACAACAUGUUUUCCAACGCUUACAAUUCGGAUUGGAGAGAUUAUUCAGAUUACAUGUGGGGAGAACCUCAACAAUUCCAACAUGGUGGAUAUUGGCAGCAAGAAGAGUUCUAUCAAUGGCCAUAUGCACCAUCACAGCCACCACAACAAUCUGCCCAAUUCAAUUCAGGUACGUCUCUGGAUAAUGAUAUGUUGAAUAAGUUACUCACCUCUUUGAAUCAGGAAGUAGAAAAUCAAAACAAAGAGAUGCAAAAUCAAGCCACGAAGACGGGCGAAUUGGAGGAGCAAAUUGGGCAGAUUAUGGAGUUCAUGGCACAAAUUCAAGAGCAAAGUGAACUCUCCAACUCAACUAUAGAAAAUUUGAAGGAAAAUUUUGAAAUCCAUGAUGCUAUCACUUUGGAAAGUGGCAUGGAGGUUGGAACAAGCCCAAAAACAUCCAAACCAAUCCAAAACAUGGAUGAACAGCUGUUGUUCGAAGAAGAAGAGGAUGAUAAGGCCACGGCAAGGGAAGAACCACCCUUGCCGCAGCCUCCCAAUGCUCCACCACUGUCCAAUACAGGUAAGUUGGGUCCAAUUUUCGUUAAUUCUAACCCUAUUCCACCCAAUGUCCCAUUUCCUCGCAGGUUUUUUAUUCCCAAGCAAGAAGAGAGUGAAAAAGACAUUGUGGAAGCUCUUUCCAAGGUGCAAAGUGAUAUCCCAAUUCUUGGCACACCAAAUCAAGUUCCAGAUUGUGUUGAAGUAUUCAAAGAACCUUGUUCACCAAGAAGAAUGAUUCAAGAGAAAGUAGUGGCUGGAGAAUAUCAAGAAUUCAUCAAAGAGGACGUAGUUGAAACAACAAAGUCCAAAGAAGUUGAGUUUGAUGACACGGGACAAAUCACAACCAUCAUAGUAAAUCUGGCUAAAUUCAAAGUCCCUGAAACUUUCAAAGAUAUGGUGUUCGUCCUUGAGUUCUUAACGGAGCGAAAAAGUAAGCCCUCUACUCCACUUUCCAUUACGUUUUAUACUUACAUGUUGUUAAUGAUUCAGGCACCCACUCUCGAAUUUAAACCAUUGAUGGAUCACUUCAAGUAUCACCUUCCAUUCAAGGAUCAAUUCCAUGCUAUGGGACCUAGGGGAGCUUAAAGAGAAGCAUCGUCCGGCUUCAAGACGUUAAAGCAAGCGCUUCUUGGGAGGGAACCUAUGCAUUCAACUUAUGAACGAUGGAAUUUGCACUCCACACUCAGAUUUGCGUUCUUAAACCCUUCUCUUUGUUGCUGUUUUCCAAAUCUGCCAUGUUUAGUUGUUUAAGUUGCUGUUUGUUUAUUUCUUUGUGUUUUGUGUAAUUUUAUGCUUGAAACAUUGAGGACAAUGUUUGAUUUAAGUGUGGGGGGGUAACUAAGUGUUUUUGAUGCAAAUUCAUGGGAUUUUAUCACCCAUUACUUAUAGACUUGUUCCUUCUGUUUUUAAGUGUUUUAAAGUAGUUUUGGUGUGUUUUAGUGUGUUUUGACAUAUAACUCCGAAAAUCACAUAAAAAUUUGAAAAAAAGUGUUUUGAAAACGUUUUUGUGUGUUUGUGUCUUAGGGUACCUUCCAACACAAUGAUGAGGAUUCGGUUUGUAAUUCCAUGGCUGUUAAAAAGAGUUAUAAACAUGGAUGAAAGUUUGAUUGACUCUUUGUUUAUGCUUGGUUGUGGUUAUAGCUUAUGAAUUCACAUGCAAUCAUAAAGAAAAAAUUAGUUUUUGUAACAUGCUUGAAGGAAGGAACUCAAACAAACGCUACAACCUUGUGAGACUUGAUCUUAAACAUUUAUUUGGAGAGUUAAAAUCUGUGCAUUAUUGUUUUCUAAAGUCGUUGCAUGAUCUCAUUAUUCCUUGCUUGGUUACUACUUAGAAGGCGUUUCAUCAUUUAGUUCCAAAUGCUAGAACUCAUGCCCAUUUCAUUCAAAGCAUGUUAUUGAUUUGCAUAACACAUAUUCAAGAUGAAGUUGUGUAGUGACCACCACCAAAGCCAAAUUGCCGUGUAUCCUACUUCAUUAUAUGUUUAAGUUAACCCCAUUGAGCCUUGUUAGCCUACAUUCUUUGUUAACCCACGUUAUCCUCACCUAGCCUAGAUUAGGACCAUCCAUACCCUUGUUCUUGAAGCAUAGUAAAGCAUGAUUCAAAUUGAAUUCCUUUUGAUUAAUGUAUGGCAGAAAACAAGUGUGGGGGAAGUGUUUCUCAUGUGAGUUAGUGUGCCAUAGGCAUGGGUAGAAAAGAAAAAUUCGUGAAAAGAAAGAAAGAAAAAAGAAAAGUGUGAAAAGUAUGAAAAAAAAAAAGAGUUGAAAAGAUGUGAAAAAGAGUUCUAAAGUGUUGUUUGUUGAAAGAAGGGUCCAAAAAGUUGAAUUUGACCCUAAGAGUUGUUUAAAUCUUCCCUUUGUGUCUAAAAGUGAUUUCUGCAUUUUAAAGUGAAUUCUAAGUCUAGAUUUCAUUACUUUGCUUUCUAUUGCUUUAAGAACGUUUGUUAUCCCUAUCCUUCAUUUGUUAACCAAUACCCCAAGCCCCAUUACAACCCUUGACUUCAAUCUUGAGUGUUAUGUGUUUCAAUUUGUGGAGUUUGAAUUUGGUAUGAGCAUAUGGUGUCACUGGUUCUCGCAUCUAAGUAGUAGCAUUCCAUUCAUGAGAACAUAUCUAAACAUGCUUAUUAACUCCAGAAAUUGUGUUCUUUGUGAUACAUAUAUGAGUGUUCGUUUUCAUGUCUACAUCAAUCUUCUCACAUAUAACUAGUAUAGGGUGUGUAGUUAGAAAAUCUGAGUGAAAAUUGAGUGCAUACCCUGUAAGGAAUUGAGCGAAUUCUCUAAGGCAUGUAACUACAUUCAAAACAUCGUUUUAAUUGGUUAAUUGUGCACUAGUAAGUGGUGACUAUGAUUAAGUAUAUGCUCGAGGGUAAGGAUGACUAAAAUCUGUGUAAGUAAUGAUUUUUAGCAUGUCAUGUGCAUUGGAAAUCCCUAAGACAAUUGUUGGAAGGUUUAGGUUGUGUUUUAUUUGUUUUGUUUCGUUUUGUUUCUUUGUUUUGCUUGAGGACUAGCAAAAGCUAAGUGUGGGGGAAUUUGACAGGAGCAUAUUUAUGCGACUUAGUUAGCUUGUUCUUGCGCAUUUACAUUGUGUUCCCUUAGUUAUUUUAGUGUUUAAAGUCAUUUUCGUGUGUUUUCAGGUUUUAAGGACAAAGUAGGCAAAAAGAUGCAUUUUGGAGCCUUUUGGAGCAUUUUUGGGCAUGGAAUGGAUAACACAUGCUUGGAGCCAAGUGAAUGGACGAAAUUGAAGACCAAAGGAGGCUGGGAAUGAAUAAUGAGAUGAAAGAAAUGAAGAAAUGAAAAUGAAGAACAAAGAGUUCAGAAUUGGAAGCCAAAGUUUCUAAAGUUGGAAGUUUCUAUUCUUGGAGGUUUCCAUUUGUGAAGGUUUCUAUCUUUGGCUCUAAACUUUCCUAAUCCUAAUUCACCUAUGUUCCAGCUGCAAUGAGGCUUCCUAAAUAUUUUAGGACCCUAAAUAAAUGCUUCUAGAAGACCUAGACCUAUCCCUAAUCCUUGCCGCACAAGGGAGAGUUUCCUUUCCUAUUUUUUGACUUUAAUUCAUAUUCCCCUUUAGUUCUAGGCAAUGCCACACCCUACCUCCUCUCCUUGCCUAAUUUCUGACCCAAAAUUACAUUCCCCUUUGUUCUAAAGCCUUGCCAUGCAAGGGGAAAGGUUUCUUACCUAUUUUGUGCCUCAAAACACAUUCCUAAAAUCUGCCCUACAAUUUCUGCCGAAUUUCCCUUUCCUAUUCUCUUUAAUUCCUGCACCUUUCUUGCCUAUUUUCAAUUGAUUUUUGACUUUUAAUUAUAGGACAAGAUAGCUAAGUUAUUUCUUUCCCUAAAACACAUCAAAAUCGUGCCUUAGCCUAUAUAAAACCCCUUUGCCGCAAGUUCUGACUCUCUCUUCUCUUUUCUGACCAUCCACGAUUCCACCCUUCACCAUAACCUACCUACACCCAUCCACCACCACAAUUCACCACAAAUCAUCACCAAACACCCUUGUGUCGCAGCAAAGAAGAAAGAAGGAGACCCUUGGACGUGCUUGCCAUUCAAGACGUUAGAUUGUUGGAGCGUUUCUAGGUGUUUUCAUUCUUUGUUUUCAAUGUCUAAAUUUAUGUAUCUUUGUUUUGCGUUUAUGAGGAACUAAGCCCUUCUUAAUUAGGGGGCUAUUCAAUACCAUGAUUAUACUUGCAUUAUGAAUUGAUUACCUUCAGUUGUUAUUUCAUAAGUUGUGAGUUCAAUUCGUUUAACUGCUUGAUUGAUAACGUAUUCGUGUAUGUUUGUUAAGAGUGCACGCUUAGUUUU
rnacentral:lncRNA from 1 species